UAUAAAUAAAUCGAUUUUUGUUUGUCAUUUUUAAUGAAGGAAGAAUUCAUAAGUUGUAUGAUGAUUUUUACAUACAGAAUGCAACAGGUCAUAAAACAAUCGCGUUAGGAAAAAAUACUCUGUUAUAAAAGACGAUGACUUGGCGUUUCGGAGACGAAAUUCAAGAUUGACUCUAUUACAAGUGGGAAAAAAAACCGACGAAUGAGAAAAUGAUGGUUCAUGUUUACGACAGAUCAUGCGGGGAUUUUAUCAUCAGAGAUAAAUUUAUUUGCUUAUGCGGCUGAUUAUACCUUGAUUUCCCUCCCUACAGUCUUCAAAAUUAAUCACGAAAUUUUAAUAUUCACGGUUUCCUACAUUCUUCAAAAAUUCAUGGAAUUUCAGUCAUUAAUUCCCCGAUUAUUCAUUAAUUUCAGGGAUAACUCAACUGAAAUUCAGGAUUUUCUAUGAGUUUUUCCGUGAUAUUGUGGAUUAUAAAUAAAAAAAUUUUCAUAUUUCAGUUAAAUUCAAAUCAAUCAAUCAGAUAGGAUGACUUGUAGAUUUCCAGACUAUGAGUGAUGGUUAAAUAAUUCAGAGGAAGAACUGCAACGACUGCGAUUAGAAGGUUGUUUCAAGGCAAAAUAAAUAAUUCUUCCGGCGAAAAGAUGCGGUUGGAAUCCCGAGAAUGCAACGAACGAAGUGGAGCAUUCGCCGGGAAAUGCCCUCGCUGUGAAUUUCCCCGCUUGUGAUGGCUCACACUGAAUGCGGGGAGUGGAAGAUACAAUCGAUGGGGAAAUUAAUUGUGAUGUAAUGAACAACAAAGAUUCUUCCGUUAUGACUUCCGUCCUGAGGCUUUAUAAACAUUCUCGGAUGUCAAUCCAUGAACAAAGUGUUAACGAGAAAACAAUUCGCGACUUCAGAAGGAAAAAUCGACAUUUGGAGUUUCUCAGGAUUUUUGAGGAGGAGAAUUUUUUUUUCUGUGAAUCUGAGAGAGAUAAUUCAAUUAUUAAAAAUUUCUAAUUGAAGAUUUUAUUUAUGUAUAGAUUUACUAUUGGAUUCUAGUUGUUUUUAUCGUGCAAUCGGAGGAAGACCUUGGAGAAGAAUUUUGAGAAUUCGGAAUUGUUUAACUCGAGGAGAAAUACUAGACUACUGGACAAUUUCAUUUAAUGAAAAAGAUCACACGGGUCAAUCACAAACAGACAACAGGUCCAAUUGUGGAGUCAAGCGAAUAAUUCUCAUUAGAAAAGGCCGGGAUUUAUAAAUUUUCCGUGUCCCCGGAUUCUGUCUCCUUUAAAUGAAGCAACUGGAAUGAUGACUUGCGAUAUAAUUCCCCGAUAAUGACUACAAAUCAAGAAAGAUGACGAGUUGCCUCGGGUCACGAGAUAAACCACAAGAACCGCCAAAUGUUUUUUCAACUCAAACAUCAACCUGCAAUUGUUGAAGCAACGAAAUAAAAAAUGAUUAAUGACUCAUUAAGCAGCUGACAGCUAGAUGAUCGGUAAUUUCGAGGUCGAGCGUUUUGCAUGGAAGUCUUCACUCGUUUAUCAACAACAGAAUGCACUUGAUGAAUUUUCUAGGGACACUGGGGGGAAUCAAUUAAUUUUUGGAGAUUUUUUUU